rnacentral:rRNA from 1 species
UCAGAGGGCGUGAACUGCCUAGAAGGAAACGGGUAGAGCUGCGGAAAGUCGUGGGCACCUCAGAGGGUGAUUAGUUGUCAGUCGUGGAAGGCAUUGCCAUGUUCAUGACUGAUGCACACUCGAGCAUUUGCCCACGAUGGUGAGAGUUGCAGUGGUGAUAGUGGCUGGUGGUGCUGUCUGAGGACCUCCUGGCGGGGAAACCAGUGGUGCUUUUGGUCAGUUGUUGCUACUGUGUUCAGAGGAGCUUUGCUCGGUGAAGCGCGGGGAAGACUACUGAAUGGGCAUUGACUCUGCUUGCAGAUCGUGUCCAAACGGCAGAUCAAUCCAAGCUACCGACUCCUCUGUGCUCUUAUCAAAGUCAGUGACCUACCCGACCCGUCUUGAAACACGGACCAAGGAGUCUAGCAUGUGCGCGAGUUAUUGAGUGGCAAACUCAGAGGCGCAAUGAAAGUAAAGGCUGAUUUAUCAGCUGAGUUGAGAGCCUGCAAGGGUGCAUCAACAUCCCGUUCUAUAUGCUUGUCAUUUGAGCGGAGAAAGAGCGUACACGCUGGGACCCGAAAGAUGGUGAACUAUGCCUGAGCAGGGUGAAGUCAGAGGAAACUCUGAUGGAAGCCCGAAGCGGUUCUGACGUGCAAAUCGAUCGUCAGACUUGGGUAUAGGGGCGAAAGACUAAUCGAACCAUCUAGUAGCUGU